rnacentral:rRNA from 1 species
UACAGAGACUGCAAGCGUUGUCCGGAUUUACUGGGCGUAAAGAGCGCGCAGGCGGUCGAUCAAGUCGAGUGUGAAAGCCCCCGGCUCAACUGGGGAGGGUCAUUCGAUACUGAUCGACUCGAAGGCAGGAGAGGGUAGUGGAAUUCCCGGUGUAGUGGUGAAAUGCGUAGAUAUCGGGAGGAACACCAGUGGCGAAGGCGACUACCUGGCCUGUUCUUGACGCUGAGGCGCGAAAGCUAGGGGAGCAAACGGG